GACGAACGCUGGCGGCGUGCUUAACACAUGCAAGUCGAACGAUGACGACCGAGCUUGCUCGGUCUGAUUAGUGGCGAACGGGUGAGUAACACGUGAGCAACCUGCCCUUCACUCUGGGAUAACCUCGGGAAAUCGGGGCUAAUACCGGAUAUGAGCUCCUGUCGCAUGGCGGGUGUUGGAAAGGUUUUCGGUGAAGGAUGGGCUCGCGGCCUAUCAGUUUGUUGGUGAGGUAGUGGCUCACCAAGGCGAUGACGGGUAGCCGGCCUGAGAGGGCGACCGGCCACACUGGGACUGAGACACGGCCCAGACUCCUACGGGAGGCAGCAGUGGGGAAUAUUGCACAAUGGGCGAAAGCCUGAUGCAGCGACGCCGCGUGAGGGAUGACGGCCUUCGGGUUGUAAACCUCUUUCAGCAGGGAAGAAGCGAAAGUGACGGUACCUGCAGAAGAAGCGCCGGCUAACUACGUG
rnacentral:rRNA from 1 species